UACGUAGGGUGCAAGCGUUGUCCGGAUUUAUUGGGCGUAAAGAGCUCGUAGGCGGUCUGUCGCGUCGGAUGUGAAAACCCAGGGCUCAACCCUGGGCCUGCAUUCGAUACGGGCAGACUAGAGUACGGCAGGGGAGACUGGAAUUCCUGGUGUAGCGGUGAAAUGCGCAGAUAUCAGGAGGAACACCGGUGGCGAAGGCAGGUCUCUGGGCUGACACUGACGCUCGAUGCACGAAAGCGUGGGGAGCAAACAGG
rnacentral:rRNA from 1 species